GGGACACGUGGUAUCCUGUCUGAAUAUGGGGGGACCAUCCUCCAAGGCUAAAUACUCCUGACUGACCGAUAGUGAACCAGUACCGUGAGGGAAAGGCGAAAAGAACCCCGGCGAGGGGAGUGAAAAAGAACCUGAAACCGUGUACGUACAAGCAGUGGGAGCCUCUUUUAUGGGGUGACUGCGUACCUUUUGUAUAAUGGGUCAGCGACUUAUAUUCUGUAGCAAGGUUAACCGAAUAGGGGAGCCGAAGGGAAACCGAGUCUUAACUGGGCGUUAAGUUGCAGGGUAUAGACCCGAAACCCGGUGAUCUAGCCAUGGGCAGGUUGAAGGUUGGGUAACACUAACUGGAGGACCGAACCGACUAAUGUUGAAAAAUUAGCGGAUGACUUGUGGCUGGGGGUGAAAGGCCAAUCAAACCGGGAGAUAGCUGGUUCUCCCCGAAAGCUAUUUAGGUAGCGCCUCGUGAAUUCAUCUCCGGGGGUAGAGCACUGUUUCGGCAAGGGGGUCAUCCCGACUUACCAACCCGAUGCAAACUGCGAAUACCGGAGAAUGUUAUCACGGGAGACACACGGCGGGUGCUAACGUCCGUCGUGAAGAGGGAAACAACCCAGACCGCCAGCUAAGGUCCCAAAGUCAUGGUUAAGUGGGAAACGAUGUGGGAAGGCCCAGACAGCCAGGAUGUUGGCUUAGAAGCAGCCAUCAUUUAAAGAAAGCGUAAUAGCUCACUGGUCGAGUCGGCCUGCGCGGAAGAUGUAACGGGGCUAAACCAUGCACCGAAGCUGCGGCAGCGACGCUUAUGCGUUGUUGGGUAGGGGAGCGUUCUGUAAGCCUGUGAAGGUGUGCUGUGAGGCAUGCUGGAGGUAUCAGAAGUGCGAAUGCUGACAUAAG
rnacentral:rRNA from 1 species